UCUGCACUGACAGUGGAUCAACUCAUUCAACAUAUUAAGACUAGUGCGGUAGAGGAUGUACAAGCAGAGGUGGGUGAGUUUAUUCGUCGGACUCCUCAGGCUGACCUCCAGCUGGCAGCAGGCAGGGUGGCAUUAGAGCUAGUUUGAAGAUCCCAGACAGAUGCCAACUUCUACCCUCAGUGUGCAUUUCUACUGCUGCUGGAGACUCGGUACCUCUGCUAGAGUGUGUGCCCUGAACUACUCUCAUUGGCCAUAGUGAAGAAAGAUUUCCAUCUCUGUCAGAUUGCUUUCCAAAUAUUUUCUGACAUUCCUGAAGCUGUCACCUGCGCUUGUCUCAAAAUUAUUCUCAGGUGAGUUUUGUGCUGACAUUAAGACAUUUACACCCUUAAUAACUGAGCCAUAAUACUGUAUUUUCCAGAAUGUCAGGUUUUUCUUAAUUAGAAAAUAUG